rnacentral:rRNA from 1 species
AGUGAACGCUGGCGGCAGGCCUAACACAUGCAAGUCGAGCGGCAGCGGGUCGUAGCAAUACGAUGCCGGCGAGCGGCGGACGGGUGAGGAAUACAUCGGAAUCUGCCCAGUCGUGGGGGAUAACGUAGGGAAACUUACGCUAAUACCGCAUACGACCUGAGGGUGAAAGCAGGGGACCGCAAGGCCUUGCGCGAUUGGAUGAGCCGAUGUCGGAUUAGCUAGUUGGUGAGGUAAAGGCUCACCAAGGCGACGAUCCGUAGCUGGUCUGAGAGGAUGAUCAGCCACACUGGAACUGAGACACGGUCCAGACUCCUACGGGAGGCAGCAGUGGGGAAUAUUGGACAAUGGGCGCAAGCCUGAUCCAGCCAUGCCGCGUGUGUGAAGAAGGCCUUCGGGUUGUAAAGCACUUUUGUCCGGGAAGAAAUCUUCCGACCUAAUACGUCGGGAGGAUGACGGUACCGGAAGAAUAAGCACCGGCUAACUUCGUGCCAGCAGCCGCCGUAAGAC